CGCACAGCGAAAGGUGCUUGCACCUUUCAAGUGAGUGGCGAACGGGUGAGUAACACGUGGACAACCUGCCUCAAGGCUGGGGAUAACAUUUGGAAACAGAUGCUAAUACCGAAUAAAACUUAGUGUCGCAUGACACAAAGUUAAAAGGCGCUUCGGCGUCACCUAGAGAUGGAUCCGCGGUGCAUUAGUUAGUUGGUGGGGUAAAGGCCUACCAAGACAAUGAUGCAUAGCCGAGUUGAGAGACUGAUCGGCCACAUUGGGACUGAGACACGGCCCAAACUCCUACGGGAGGCUGCAGUAGGGAAUCUUCCACAAUGGGCGAAAGCCUGAUGGAGCAACGCCGCGUGUGUGAUGAAGGCUUUCGGGUCGUAAAGCACUGUUGUAUGGGAAGAACAGCUAGAAUAGGAAAUGAUUUUAGUUUGACGGUACCAUACCAGAAAGGGACGGCUAAAUACGUGCCAGCAGCCGCGGUAAUACGUAUGUCCCGAGCGUUAUCCGGAUUUAUUGGGCGUAAAGCGAGCGCAGACGGUUUAUUAAGUCUGAUGUGAAAGCCCGGAGCUCAACUCCGGAAUGGCAUUGGAAACUGGUUAACUUGAGUGCAGUAGAGGUAAGUGGAACUCCAUGUGUAGCGGUGGAAUGCGUAGAUAUAUGGAAGAACACCAGUGGCGAAGGCGGCUUACUGGACUGCAACUGACGUUGAGGCUCGAAAGUGUGGGUAGCAAACAGGAUUAGAUACCCUGGUAGUCCACACCGUAAACGAUGAACACUAGGUGUUAGGAGGUUUCCGCCUCUUAGUGCCGAAGCUAACGCAUUAAGUGUUCCGCCUGGGGAGUACGACCGCAAGGUUGAAACUCAAAGGAAUUGACGGGGACCCGCACAAGCGGUGGAGCAUGUGGUUUAAUUCGAAGCAACGCGAAGAACCUUACCAGGUCUUGACAUCCUUUGAAGCUUUUAGAGAUAGAAGUGUUCUCUUUCGGAGACAAAGUGACAGGUGGGUGCAUGGUUCGUCGUCCGCCUCGUGGUCGUGGAGAUGUUUGGGUUUAAGUCCCCGCAACGAAGCGCACCCUUUA
rnacentral:rRNA from 1 species